rnacentral:tRNA from 1 species
AACGGUAGCGCGUCUGACUCCAGAUCAGAAGGCUGGGGGUUCGAAUCCCUCACUGG